GGAGCGGUGUCAGAGCGGUUUAUUGAGACGGUCUUGAAAACCGUUGAGGGUUAAUAGCCCUCCGUGGGUUCGAAUCCCACCUGCUCCG
rnacentral:tRNA from 1 species